rnacentral:piRNA from 1 species
UACGGAGGAAAAUAGAACAACUGAAACUCU